GACGAACGCUGGCGGCGUGCUUAACACAUGCAAGUCGAACGGAAAGGCCCUGCUUUUGUGGGGUGCUCGAGUGGCGAACGGGUGAGUAACACGUGAGUAACCUGCCCUUGACUUUGGGAUAACUUCAGGAAACUGGGGCUAAUACCGGAUAGGAGCUCCUGCUGCAUGGUGGGGGUUGGAAAGUUUCGGCGGUUGGGGAUGGACUCGCGGCUUAUCAGCUUGUUGGUGGGGUAGUGGCUUACCAAGGCUUUGACGGGUAGCCGGCCUGAGAGGGUGACCGGCCACAUUGGGACUGAGAUACGGCCCAGACUCCUACGGGAGGCAGCAGUGGGGAAUAUUGCACAAUGGGCUGAAGCCUGAUGCAGCAACGCCGCGUGCGGGAUGACGGCCUUCGGGUUGUAAACCGCUUUCGCCUGUGACGAAGUGUGAGUGACGGUAAUGGGUAAAGAAGCACCGGCUAACUACGUG
rnacentral:rRNA from 1 species